GGCUCAGGACUAACGUUGGCGGCGUGCGUAAUACAUGCAAGUCGAGCGGGGUGGGGGCAACUCCACCUAGCGGCGAACGGGUGAGUAACACGUGGAUGAUCUACCCUUUAGAUCGGGACAACUGACCGAAAGGUUAGCUAAUACCGGGUAUGACCACAGCCAGUAUCAUCUGGCUGCGGUAAGAGCAGGGGACCGCAAGGCCUUGCGCUAGAGGAUGAGUCCGCGGCUGAUUAGCUAGUUGGCGGGGUAAUGGCCCACCAAGGCGACGAUCAGUAGCCGGCCUGAGAGGGUGACCGGCCACACUGGGACUGAGACACGGCCCAGACUCCUACGGGAGGCAGCAGUAGGGAAUUUUCCACAAUGGGCGAAAGCCUGAUGGAGCAACGCCGCGUGAGGGAUGAAGGAUUUCGGUCUGUAAACCUCUUUGGAGCGGGAAGAACGUGCUCUGGGUGAAUAAUCCAGGGCAGUGACGGUACCGCUAGAACAAGACACGGCUAACUUCGUGCCAGCAGCCGCGGUAAUACGAAGGUGUCGAACGUUGUCCGGAAUUAUUGGGCGUAAAGGGCGCGUAGGCGGCCAGGUAAGUCAGAUGUGAAAGCUCUGGGCUCAACCCAGGAAUUGCAUUUGAAACUGCUUGGCUCGAGUUCGGUAGAGGAGGGCGGAAUUCCAGGUGUAGCGGUGAAAUGCGUAGAUAUCUGGAGGAACACCCGUGGCGAAGGCGGCUCUCUGGUCCGAUACUGACGCUGAGGCGCGAAAGGUAGGGGAGCAAACAGGAUUAGAUACCCUGGUAGUCCUACCCGUAAACCAUGAGUACUAGGUGUUGGAGGUAUUGACCCCUUCAGUGCCGUAGCUAACGCAUUAAGUACUCCGCCUGGGAACUACGGCCGCAAGGCUGAA
rnacentral:rRNA from 1 species